AGGGUUUGAUUCUGGCUCAGAUUGAACGCUGGCGGCAUGCCUAACACAUGCAAGUCGAACGGUAGCAGGCCUUCGGGUGCUGACGAGUGGCGGACGGGUGAGUAAUGCGUAGGAAUCUGUCUUUUAGUGGGGGACAACCCAGGGAAACUUGGGCUAAUACCGCAUGAGCCCUGAGGGGGAAAGCGGGGGAUCUUCGGACCUNGCGCUAAGAGAAGAGCCUACGUCUGAUUAGCUAGUUGGUAGGGUAAAGGCCUACCAAGGCGACGAUCAGUAGCUGGUCUGAGAGGACGACCAGCCACACUGGGACUGAGACACGGCCCAGACUCCUACGGGAGGCAGCAGCGGGGAAUUUUUCGCAAUGGGGGCAACCCUGACGAAGCAAUGCCGCGUGGAUGAAGAAGGCCUUCGGGUUGUAAAGUCCUUUCGUGGGGACGAAAAGGAGUUCCUAAUACGA
rnacentral:rRNA from 1 species